rnacentral:rRNA from 1 species
UACGUAGGUGGCAAGCGUUGUCCGGAUUUACUGGGCGUAAAGAGCGCGCAGGCGGUCGUUCAAGUCGCGUGUGAAAGCCCCCCGGCUCAACUGGGGAGGGUCACGCGAUACGUGAUCGACUCGAAGGCAGGAGAGGGUAGUGGAAUUCCCGGUGUAGUGGUGAAAUGCGUAGAUAUCGGGAGGAACACCAGUGGCGAAGGCGGCUCUCUGGGACGGUACUGACGCUGAGACGCGAAAGCGUGGGGAGCGAACAGG